UACGUAGGGGGCGAGCGUUGUCCGAAGUUACUGGGCGUAAAGCGCGCGUAGGCGGUCUUUUAAGUCUGGUGUGAAAGGUUCAGGGCUCAACCCGAACAGUGCACUGGAUACUGGGAGACCUGAGUGCGGGAGAGGAGAGUGGAAUUCCUGGUGUAGCGGUGAAAUGCGUAGAUAUCAGGAGGAACACCGAUGGCGAAGGCAGCUCUCUGGCCUGCAACUGACGCUGAGGUGCGAAAGCGUGGGGAGCGAACGGG
rnacentral:rRNA from 1 species